rnacentral:rRNA from 1 species
UACGUAGGUCCCGAGCGUUGUCCGGAUUUAUUGGGCGUAAAGCGAGCGCAGGUGGUUUAUUAAGUCUGGUGUAAAAGGCAGUGACUCAACCAUUGUAUGCAUUGGAAACUGGUAGACUUGAGUGUAAGAGAGGAGAGUGGAAUUCCAUGUGUAGCGGUGAAAUGCGUAGAUAUAUGGAGGAACACCGGUGGCGAAAGCGGCUCUCUGGACUGUAACUGACACUGAGGCACGAAAGCGUGGGGAGCAAACAGG